GUCCACGGCCAUGCUACCGUGAACAAGCCCGAUCCUUUCCGAUCUUGAAAGCUAACCAGGGUCGGGCCUGGUUAGUACUUGGAUGGGAAACCACCUAGGAAGACCAGGUGCUGUAGGCA
rnacentral:rRNA from 1 species